rfam:Oryza sativa Japonica Group DNA, chromosome 10, cultivar: Nipponbare, complete sequence.
CCUAAUUUUCGUGUCCAACGUUUGACCGUCCAUCUUAUUUGAAAAAAUUAUAAAAAAAUUUAAAAAGACAAGUCGCGCAUAAAAUAUUAAUCAUGUUUUAUCAUCUAACAACAAUAAAAAUACGAAUUAUAAAAAAAUUUAUAUAAGACAGACAGUCAAAGUUGGACACGAAAACCCAGGGUUUGUCUCUUU